UACUGGAAAUGCAGUGUUACCAAGCACUUCUGGGUGACAGCCUGGGGGAAGAACCUGUCGUCUGGUAUUUGAAAAUAGCACAGCUGACUGAAGGGGAAAUUUCAAACAGUUUGUGUUCAGGUUGAGUGAGAUCUGAGUUGUUUGCUUCUUGUUUCCUCAACUGUAGAUGCAAACAAGAAACAAACAAAUAAGCCUCAAUGCAAAACUAGUGUCGUACUAAAAUAUAAGAUUAAUGAUAUGAUUACGUUGCUUCGAGUGAAAUGUUCUUCACUGUAAAACAAAUGCAACCUCUUGCGCUUUAAUUUUGAAAACCCUUACCGGACAUCCUUGUUUACUCUUACUGCUGCUCUUAAGUCUGACUGUUGCGCUCGAGCUGUGAGCUUUAUCAGCAGCCUUUAACGUAAACCAGGCUCGGCCUCUCAAGUGGGGCUUUAACUCGCCGUCUACGGUGAAUGACAGCAAACUAUCUUUGCAGGAUACACCGCCACAAUGUCUUAAGCUCGAGUUCCGAUCAGUUAGUGUCUUUUUUCUCUGCUGUAACAUGUGUUAGCCAUUAGCUGCGUUACUGUACACACAGGCUUUUUGUUCUACUGCUGCUUAUUCAGCCUCUGCAGGACAAACUGGCACCGAUGUUCAGUACGGACCAGGCGCAAAAAUAGCAGUCGUAUUUUUUUUCAUAGGAAGAAGGAAAACCACCGUGCCGGUAAUAGAAAAAAAUAUUCCCGGUUGUCAACUUCAGCCCCGGGGCUGUCCCCCCCCCCGGUCGCAAAGCGAUUUAAUGGCCGGAAAUCCGCGGAGGGGCGCCGGUCUCAUCGGCUUGAUGAAGGACGCCUUUCAGCCGCACCAGCAGCCUCUCCAGCCUCACCAACCUGCCGUGGUCGACAAGAAGCUGGUAGAAAAAUGUUGGAAACUCAUGGACAAGGUGGUACGUUUGUGCCAGAACCCCAAAGUGGCUCUGAAGAACAGCCCGCCCUACAUCCUAGACCUGCUGCCAGAUACCUACCAGCACUUACGCACCAUUCUGUCCCGAUACGAGGGUAAAAUGGAGACCCUGGGGGAAAAUGAGUAUUUUCGUGUGGUCAUGGAGAACUUGACCAACAAGACGAAGCAGACAAUGAGCCUUUUUAAGGAGGCCAAGGAGAAAAUGUAUGAGGAGAAUUCCCAACCCAGACGAAACCUCACCAAACUGUCUCUGAUCUUUAGUCACAUGCUCGCAGAGCUAAAAGCCAUCUUCCCCAAUGGCCUGUUUCAGGGCGACAACUUCAGAAUCACCAAAGCUGACGCUGCAGAAUUUUGGAGACGGUCAUUUGGGGACAAGACCAUAGUGCCGUGGAGGACAUUUCGUCAGGCUCUCCAUGAGUUUCACCCCAUCAGCUCAGGCUUAGAGGCCAUGGCUUUGAAGUCCACCAUUGACCUCACCUGCAAUGACUACAUCUCCGUCUUUGAAUUUGAUAUAUUCACAAGACUUUUCCAGCCAUGGUCGUCCCUGUUAAGGAAUUGGAACAGUCUGGCUGUCACACAUCCUGGUUACAUGGCCUUUCUAACGUAUGAUGAGGUCAAAGCCCGGUUGCACCGGUUCAUCCACAAACCUGGCAGUUAUAUCUUUAGACUCAGCUGUACUCGACUGGGCCAGUGGGCAAUCGGCUACGUAACAGCUGACGGCAACAUCCUGCAGACCAUCCCCCAUAACAAACCGCUUUUCCAAGCCCUCAUUGAUGGAUACAGAGAAGGAUUCUAUCUGUUCCCUGAUGGACGUGCACAGAACCCAGACUUAACAGGUCUUUGUGAACCUUCUCCACAAGACCAUAUCAAAGUCACUCAGGAGCAGUAUGAGCUGUACUGUGAGAUGGGCUCCACAUUCCAGCUCUGUAAGAUCUGUGCAGAGAACGACAAGGACGUGAAGAUCGAGCCCUGCAGGCACCUGAUGUGCACUUCCUGUCUGACUGCGUGGCAGGAGUCAGAAGGUCAAGGCUGCCCCUUUUGCCGCUGUGAAAUUAAAGGCACGGAGCCCAUCGUAGUGGACCCCUUCCACCCUAAAGCCACCGGAGCCUCCUUUGCUGGUUUCCAGGGGUCCAGCAGAGCAGAAGCUGCUGGUAAUGAUGAAGAUGAUGAUGAUCGCAUGGAAGAUCAGCACCUUAUCAUGAGCAGGCUGGCCUGCAGCAAGGUGGAACGUCCAGCAUCUCCAGUGUCUCAGCUACCUCCAGUGCCCCCUAGACUGGACCUCCUGCAGCAGAGACCCUGCACCUCCCACAAUGCCCUGGCCCAGGGUGCAACAGCUAAGAUUGCAGCCACUCACAGAGACAAGCCUCUACCUCUGCCUCCAGCCCUUAGAGAGCUACCCCCUCCUCCUCCACCAGAGCGCCCCCCUCUGGUAGGCCAAGACUCCAGACUCCAGAGGAGACCUCUGCCCUCCACUCCAGACCAGUCCACCUGGGCUUCCAACUACAUGGUACCACGGCCUGCAACUAAGGCGCCAUCAGCCUUUAUACAGAUCAACGACAUCAGUGGAGAAGGAAGUAAACCUCAAUCAGCAACAAAUGCUGUCUACUGCCUGGCUGCAAGGGCCCUGCCACCAUCUGUGGCACUGAGCGGGGAGAAGUCGCCGUCGUCUGACUGUGAUGAGAAUGAGUACAUGAGUCCCACAUCUCUUCCAGCUCACGGUGCUUUGUCAGUCAUAACAGGCUCCUUGGUUCCUCCUCCACCACAACCACCACCACCAGCAGCCCAGAUAGACCACAAUGAUGUCAGUGAAAAGGCUGACAGUGACUCUGAAGACCCCCAGGUCUACGAGUCCAUGUGUAACAUUAAGGCCCAGGCUGGAUGCACCGAGAUGGCACAGUCCUCUGAUAUGGAUCAUCCUCAACAUACCACAGCGGGUUUCCAAGACAAGACAGAAGACUCAAUGCAGGAAGAGGCUUACAUUUAUGACUCUCCUAGACCAGUCAUCCCUCCAGCUCCCACCAGAAGAACCCUGUCAGAUAUGAGUGGACCCAUGGCUGCUUUUAGUGCUCUCAGCAUUGACAGUGCAGUAGAAACUGGUAUGUUUGUUUCAGCUGGUGUUGAUCCUGAACGUCCUCCCAAACCCCUCCCGCGGCGAGCAAACUCUGACCGGAGGCCACGUCCUUUGAAUCGUGAAUAUCCUGCCCCUUUGCCAGAACUCCCUGGCACCUCCUCAACCCUGCCCCUUCCUCCUCCACCUCUCCCUCCUGCUCCCACAGUAGCAGGAAGCAUGGCCCUCAAUGGUGAGAUUGAAUGCCUAAUGUCACAGGGCUACUCUAUCCAGGACAUCCAGAAAGCUCUCAUGAUCGCUCAGAACAACCUGGAGACAGCCAAGAACAUCCUUCGAGAGUUUGUCACCAUCCCCUCUGCGGCGCACAUCGCCACUUAGGCACAGUCUUCACACACCCAGUGAUACUUCUCUCCUGUUUGGUCGUCAUUCUGUUCUCACUUUGUGCCAAUAUAAUAGGUAAAUGGAUAGAAUUAACCAAGCACUUUCAUGCAGGGCUAUGAGCACAAGUUCCUGCCAUUCCUAGGAUGUCCACUGAGGGGUAAGGCUGUGAUCAUGUCAUAUCAGAAAAUAGAAAAAAAAAAUGUCAACGUGACAUUCUAUGGAUUUCCUGAUUAGCCUUUUGGUCCUUGAACAUUUCACUUAAGGUAUUGGCUGAUACCAGUCCAAAAUGUUUGACGACAUUUUAAUGUGGGAGGAUCAAUGUAAGAGAUUAAAAAAUGACACUGGUGAGCGAAAAGGGGAUUUUUCAGGUUAAACUGUAUUAAGUGCACCCUCUGCUGGAACACAAAGUAACUACUUAUGACAUUCUGGGGUAAACUUGAACAAAGGGAAAACCUGAAAAAUUUGAACCUUGGCUCCCUAUAAGAUACUUAUUACAACAUAAUAUUCCCUUAUGUUUGCGACUUUAUCUUCUGACAUUAGCUGCGUUCAUAAUGCAACUGAUAGAAUGGCAAUGAGAUUUUCUUUUUCCAUCUCAAAUCCACUUGAAAAUGCAAAGAGUAUAAUACUUAAAAACAAAAUGGGAUGUUGUUAGUUAGUUCCAUCUUAUUCUUAGUAGCCACUAAAUCAUGUUCACAUUUUGGUGAGAUUGGAGGUUUUGGCCAAGGCAAUUGCAGUAUCAUUUAGCUGUUGGGGAAAGCAUUUCAUUUCAAGGCUUCAAAGUAGCAUUACAGUGAUCUGAUAUGGCGCUAUUGCAGCAAACAAGUCCUUAAAAUUAGUCCUUGAAAAUCUUGUUUCUGUAGCAUUGCUUUGACCUCGUUACAGUAAGGUUUGAGGCCUAGUUUACAUGAAUCGCUUUUUUAAACUGUCAUCCACAUAAGUAAUGGGUUUUGGUCACUGCUUAACCUUGCUGUUAUGAAGAGAUAGGUCAACUGUGGGUCAACCAAUUUUUUUCAGCUCUAAAAAAUGUCUGCCCAUAAAGGACCGAUAGGAGUACAGAUACUAUCUAGAUGGAGAUUACACGACAUUGGUCUAGAUCCGAGGUGGAUUUAUAUAAGACACUUCUCAGAAGAAGAAGUUGGACUAAUCGAAUAGACAAGAAAGUCCAAGUUAAUUUGCAUAAUCUGUUUCAUCUAGUCAUUUUAGUAAAUCAUUCCUGGUACUGGAGGAUACAGGUUACUGAGCAGUGGAAAUGUGACAUAAUUGUUUGUAGACAGGCAAAGGGAAAACUUCAAAUUUCCAACAUGCCUGCUUACCUGUGACAUAAGCCUAAAUACCUUUAUUCAUUAAGCUUUGGGUUGUUUUUUUUUUUUUUUUAUAUGACUCCGAGACUCACCCCUGGCAGCUGCUUUAUGGUGCUUUUACGGGCUUGUCUGCAAUGUUAUGGCAUUCAAAUAUGAAGUGAUGUGAGUUACAGUCAGGAAAUUAGUAAUUAACUCCAUAGUGUGUCUAUGUCUGUGCGCGUGUGUGAGUGUUGAUGCUUAUGUACUGUACGUGAGUGUUCAGUUGCAGUGCAGUAUUGCAAGGUUCUGUACGUGUCUCUGUGGCUCUCCCUCAUUUUUGGAUGACUCCAUAUCUUCUCUCAGUCCUAAAUCAACAAUAGGUCAAACUUUAAAAAAAAUAAAAUAACAAGAUAAAUGUCUCUGUACUUUAAAAAAACAUGUCAUGCUGUGUGGUACUAACAUUGGCAGAAUUCUGACAAGUUGAUUGAUUUCUCUGGUUUACUGAAGGCUGAUUUAUUUUGUCAAAACUAAUGUAUUGUCGUGUACUUUUUUUUGUACUUUUACAACAUUGCCAUAUUUAUAUUAAGAACAUUUAAAUAUCUGACAAAUUAUGGCGAAAGGAGUCGCACUGAGGCAAACAAAAAUAGUGGACUCAGGUACUCAGUAUUAAGUCAGGGUUCUAUAAACUAAGUAAUGACAGGAAGUUAAUUAUGACUGUAUUUUCUUGCUCAUCAUAUUGAAUUUACAUAUUCUUUUAAAUCGAGUCUUUGUUAUUAGUCCACCCAGGGAUUAGUGAUCAAUUCAUGUUUCUGGUCUAAUCACAUACGCCCUUUGCCAUUGGUUAACAUUGGUAAAAGUUAAUUAAUUGGCCCCCAAGGUAUAAGGCAGGGCCCCCAUGUAGAUCACACAGCUAUUACAUUGACGGCCUAGCAAGUCUCAAUUUUAUUUUUUAUUUAUUUGUGCCACAGUGGAGAAAAUUACAGCGAUUUCUAAUUCUACUUCUUUUGUUGAAUGAUAAUAUCAGUUUUGUAGGAAUUACAGAGGCGUUCUAAAUAAUAGCGGCGAAUGUGUCGAUGUGGGGUGGGCUUAAAAAUAUCCCUAUCUAUGUUGCAGUCCUAUCUUUGAAGACCACAGGGUUAAUUUUACAUCAAAAGUUAAUUCAGUAAUGUUGUAAGUUAAAACAUACAUACAUGAACUCUGUUUCAUAUAAAACUUACACUGAGAUUAUUCACUAGUGAUACGACACGUGCAAUUCAUCCCGUUUGCCUUCUUCGAAACAGUUUCUGAAUGUGCCUUCAGUCAAUCUCAGUCUGAACCAUUCAACAGAGAAAAAAACAAAACUCUGUCCACCUUACUUUGGGCCUUUAAGUUCUCACUGAAGAUAUUUACUGACAGCUUGGAGGGGGGUCUUUUAAUGUUUGGGCAUUAAAUAAUUAGCCAACUUUUUAAACUAUAUACAUCCAUAAAACCAGGUUGAUCCAGUGUGUUUUCUCAUAUAUAAACAGACUAACUAAAGCUAACUAAGAAAAUGAAACUUUUAAGCCAUGACCUUGGUUUUUUUUUUUCUUGGAAUUGGGAAAUAUUUCCUCUAAUACACUGUAAACUGUUAAAUUAUACAUAUGUCUAACAGUAAAUACUAGGCAGAUGUCUGAGGUUUCUUGUUACGUUUUUACUGAUAUUUGUUGGAUUUUGUGUUUUCCUUAUAUACAGAUUUUAUUUAUAUUUAAAUUUUACUCCAUAACUGUUCUGACUUAAAUACAGUGCAAGGGCUGGUAAAAAAAAAACAAAAACAAACACUUGUGUCAAGGUUAGACUGUCUGCACUGCCUCCACAUGCAGCUGAGGUCUGUAAAUAAGGCAUGAGAUUUCGUUAUCUUGGUGAAACCUCACAGAAAGUUACAGCUUUAAAGCCCUGAACAAAAAGCAUGUGAAAGCAGCUAGUUUCUUUACAGCGUCUUCUCAGCCUCUGUUUGAUACAGAGGGUACAAGACCUUAGUUUAUCUGAGUUUUCAAUUACCCUAUCUAGGCUUUUACUACUUAACAGGACUAACACUCUGGGCCAUGAACGAUGACAGGGAAAACAGUUGUGGGAAGAAGAAAAAACACAUGCAUACAAAUACACUCCCUGUUAGCCAGUUUGAUAAGCUCAGACCUCUGGUUAAUGAUAUAUAUACAUAUAUAACAUUGUUAACUCGCCUUUUCAACAACAACAAAACGUACCUACUAAUGUCUUCAUUGCUUUUGUUUGCUAUGUAAAUAUGAUUUUAUUUAUUGUCUUUUUAAUUCCCCCUGUGUUGCCAUGUUCUCAUGCCUAAGCCAUUAAGAUUUUUAAUUAAACAGUAUUUUCUUUAA